UACAGAGGGGGCAAGCGUUGUUCGGAAUUACUGGGCGUAAAGCGCGCGUAGGUGGUUCGUUAAGUUGGAUGUGAAAGCCCCGGGCUCAACCUGGGAACUGCAUUCAAAACUGACGAGCUAGAGUAUGGUAGAGGGUGGUGGAAUUUCCUGUGUAGCGGUGAAAUGCGUAGAUAUAGGAAGGAACACCAGUGGCGAAGGCGACCACCUGGACUGAUACUGACACUGAGGUGCGAAAGCGUGGGGAGCAAACAGG
rnacentral:rRNA from 1 species